rnacentral:tmRNA from 1 species
UAUCUUGACAUUCGCUCAAUGCUACUAUACAAUAAAUGUGUGUGUUUUGCGCACUAUGGCAAUAAAAUUACCCUGUAAUAGGUGUAUUGGACCCGAGGGCAGUACUCGGCGCCUCCACCAUACUUUUACUACAUGGGGGCGAACAAGGAUUGACAUGCAUAGUAAAGAUGGUAGCUUUGCUCGGUUAGAUACCACCGUUAAGAGUUUAUAAUUUAGAUGCAAAUAAUAAUUUUGCUGCUGACAGUAAUGUCAUGGCAUUAGCUGCUUAAUCUAAGCACUAAAUCUCAUUACUACAAGCACGGUUCAGGGAACGCCGGGUAACAGAAGGUUCCCACG